rnacentral:tRNA from 1 species
CCGGUGGUGGGCAGCGUUUUGGCCGCCAGGAUCGCCCCCUGCGGCGGAUUUUCGAUAAAGGUCACGUCGGUGUGCCAGUUGUCGUUAUCCGGC